GACGAACGCUGGCGGCGUGCUUAACACAUGCAAGUCGAACGGUGAAGCGCCUUCCUUUUUGGUGGGUGUGGAUGAGUGGCGAACGGGUGAGUAACACGUGAGUAACCUGCCCCCUUCUUCUGGAUAACCGCAUGAAAGUGUGGCUAAUACGGGAUAUUCUGGGUCUGUCGCAUGAUGGGUCUGGGAAAGAUAUUGUUUCGGUGGGGGAUGGGCUCGCGGCCUAUCAGCUUGUUGGUGGGGUGAUGGCCUACCAAGGCGGUGACGGGUAGCCGGCCUGAGAGGGUGGACGGUCACACUGGGACUGAGACACGGCCCAGACUCCUACGGGAGGCAGCGGUGGGGAAUAGUGCACAAUGGGCGCAAGCCUGAUGCAGCGACGCCGCGUGAGGGAUGGAGGCCUUCGGGUUGUGAACCUCUUUCGCCAGUGAAGCAGGCCUGCCUCGUUUGUGGGUGGGUUGACGGUAGCUGGAUAAGAAGCGCCGGCUAACUACGUG
rnacentral:rRNA from 1 species